UACGAAGGGGGCUAGCGUUGCUCGGAAUCACUGGGCGUAAAGCGCACGUAGGCGGCUCGUUAAGUCGGGUGUGAAAUCUCGGAGCUUAACUCCGAAACUGCAUUCGAUACUGCCGUGCUUGAGGACUGGAGAGGAGACUGGAAUUUACGGUGUAGCGGUGAAAUGCGUAGAUAUCGUAAGGAAGACCAGUGGCGAAGGCGGGUCUCUGGACAGUUCCUGACGCUGAGGCACGAAGGUCAGGGGAGCAAACGGG
rnacentral:rRNA from 1 species